rnacentral:lncRNA from 1 species
UUUCCCUUUUUUCUCAACUUCCCCAUUUUCUGCCCCCAAACACAAAUCCCCCUUUCCUGCCCGCACCCGCGAAAGUCUUUCACUGCUCAUGCGCCUGUCAAACUAGCAUGAUGCCCAGGCCAUGCUGCGCGUAGCAGCACACCCAUGGGGCUUGUCCUUCGGCAAAAUUGGGUGCCUGGGCACACGUCCCUAUGCACAUUUGCACAAAGUUGGCAUGACACAUAGUGCCAACGCACAGAUACGCUCGGUGAGUAGGGCAUCUGGCAAGACCUCGCCCAUCUGCACUCAGCUACUGCGCAUACACAACAUGUCUAGGGGAGCAUCUAAACAUGCGUGCCUCCCGCAUGGACUAUCCUGGUACUUUGGUGCCUAGGUAACUACAGACAGAGUUAGUGGCCACUUCUGAUGUAUUUAUUC